AGUGAACGCUGGCGGUAGGCCUAACACAUGCAAGUCGAACGGCAGCACAGUAAGAGCUUGCUCUUACGGGUGGCGAGUGGCGGACGGGUGAGGAAUACAUCGGAAUCUACUUUUUCGUGGGGGAUAACGUAGGGAAACUUACGCUAAUACCGCAUACGAUCUACGGGUGAAAGCAGGGGAUCUUCGGACCUUGCGCGAUUGAAUGAGCCGAUGUCGGAUUAGCUAGUUGGCGGGGUAAUGGCCCACCAAGGCGACGAUCCGUAGCUGGUCUGAGAGGAUGAUCGGCCACACUGGAACUGAGACACGGUCCAGACUCCUACGGGAGGCAGCAGUGGGGAAUAUUGGGCAAUGGGCGCAAGCCUGAUCCAGCCAUACCGCGUGGGUGAAGAAGGCCUUCGGGUUGUAAAGCCCUUUUGUUGGGAAAGAAAAGCAGCAGGUUAAUACCCCGCUGUUCUGACGGUACCCAAAGAAUAAGCACCGGCUAACUUCGUG
rnacentral:rRNA from 1 species